GAUGAAGAACGCAGCGAAAUGCGAUAAGUAGUGUGAAUUGCAGAAUUCAGUGAAUCAUCGAAUCUUUGAACGCACAUUGCGCCCCUUGGUAUUCCAUGGGGCAUGCCUGUUCGAGCGUCAUUUGUACCUUCAAGCUUUGCUUGGUGUUGGGUGUUUGUCCAUUCUCUUGCAGAGGGACUCGCCUUAAAGUAAUUGGCAGCCAGUGUUUUGAUUUUGAAGCGCAGCACAAGUCGCGAUUCAAAGCUAUACGCCCGCUUCCACAAGCCUUUUUCACUUUUGACCUCGGAUCAGGUAGGGAUACCCGCUGAACUUAAGCAUAUCAAUAAGCGGAGGA
rnacentral:misc_RNA from 1 species